rnacentral:tRNA from 1 species
AGUAAGAUGGCAGAAAUUUAUGCAAUAGAUUGUAAACCUAUCAAUGGGUAUCUACCCUCUUACUA